CAGCAGCCGCCGCGGUAACACGGAGGGGGCUAGCGUUGUUCGGAAUUACUGGGCGUAAAGCGUACGUAGGCGGCUUGGUAAGUUAGAGGUGAAAGCCCGGAGCUCAACUCCGGAAUUGCCUUUAAGACUGCCGAGCUAGUAGGUGAGAGAGGUAAGUGGAAUUCCGAGUGUAGAGGUGAAAUUCGUAGAUAUUCGGAAGAACACCAGUGGCGAAGGCGGCUUACUGGCUCAUUCUAGACGCUGAGGUGCGAAAGCGUGGGGAGCAAACAGGAUUAGAUACCCGAGUAGUCCCUGUCUCUUAUAC
rnacentral:rRNA from 1 species